CAGCCGCCGCGGGAAUACGUAGGUGGCAAGCGUUGUCCGGAAUUAUUGGGCGUAAAGGGCUCGCAGGCGGUUUCUUAAGUCUGGUGUGAAAGCCCCCGGCUCAACCGGGGAGGGUCAUUGGAAACUGGGAAACUUGAGUGCAGAAGAGGAGAGUGGAAUUCCACGUGUAGCGGUGAAAUGCGUAGAGAUGUGGAGGAACACCAGUGGCGAAGGCGACUCUCUGGUCUGUAACUGACGCUGAGGAGCGAAAGCGUGGGGAGCGAACAGGAUUAGAUACCCGCGUAGUCCCUGUCUCUUAUAC
rnacentral:rRNA from 1 species